UUAAUUUAAAGUCCACUUCAACAAUAAUAAUAAGUUGUCAAAGCAUAUAAUCUAUUAGCUUAAGAGAAGCAUUGGUAAGUUUGCUGAGAGGACGUGAACGUGUUAAAGCUUCAACCUCUGGGAAAGAAUGAAUGGGCCGGAGUGAGAAAGCUUUAGCACUGAUCUUCCUGUGCUUGGUGGCAGAUCACAGGGGCUUUGAAGAGAGAAGCCAUAAACCCCAGAACAAUAAGGAGAAGUGAUUCCAAGUAGGAAGGAACACAACGUUGAAGGUCAGUUGAAUAUGAUACAAGACGCUGCCUGGAUUGCUAAUUAGUGCUUUAAAGAGUAAGUUGGCAGUGAAGCAAUGCUCAUAGCUCCAGAGUGGUGAUCUCUGACUCUAACUUGGAAGCAGGGAAAAGAGAAGUAAUUUGCAGAAAACAUCAAAAGAGAGAUUUAAUCAUAUGUCCUCCUAUUUGAAAAUGUUAGGCUGCCACUGUGCCAACAUACAGUCAUUAAUCCAGCAGGUGGAAGGCAGGAAACUCAGCCCAGCCACUAAUUCUUUUUAAAAUGUGUUUUCUCUGACUGCUUAUUUCCUAACUGGGAAGAUUAUGGUCUAUGCGUGGCUCAUCCCUCAGCUGUUACGGUGUUAACCAUUCAAGUGUCCUGAGCCCCAUGUGGAAGCACAGAGGUGUCUGUGAAGUGACUGAGUGCUGCCAUCUCCACAGACAGCUCAGCACCAGGCAAGGCGGGGCAGGACUCAGCUGGGCCAGAGGGAGCAGCCUCCCCCCUGCUCUGAGCUCUGUCCCUGCUCAAUCCUCACGCUCAGGGCAAGGGAGGGAGGAAAGAAGAGGAGGACAACAGUUGGGUGCUGGGGACUCCCCACACCAGAGGUGGGGUUGGGGCAGGUCCACCGUCACUCUACCUGGGACGGCCAUCCCUUGGAUCUGUUUGGUGGAGGACUCACACCCCACAGUCAGGUGCUGCCCUGAGGUGGGUGCAGAUGGGUCCUGGGGCGCAUGGAACAUUGCAAAGGAGGAACUGGGGUGCCCAUCCAUCUCAGAUGGCAGGGAGUGCAAAGUGGGGGUGUGGCUACCGGCUGCCCUUACUACUUGGGAUUAGGGCUGUGGCUAAGAGUGCUGUCCAAGGUGAGGCAUGCAGGAGCUCUCUUUUCAAUUCUAUUCCAACUCUAAUUCUUAAACUUCACAUUUACACUCUAUAAAGCUCACAUUUGUUUCAUCUUUUCUAAUUAAGAGAAUUUUAAUCAUGCCAUGUUGGCCUUGGUUUUAUCAUCCCUAAUUUCUUUGUUUCGAUUGAUUUUUUUAAGAUAGAUUUCCCCGGGGUUUUGAUUGUUUGGGAAAGAUUGUCUGCUGUGUUUAUACUCACAGGAACACCUGGCUGGUUAAAAGAGGAUCACACCUUCUUCCCCUGAGAACUUCAGACACUGUGUGGUCUCCCAGCUGCAAGUUUCGCCAUGAAGUCGGAGGCCAUCUGCGCCCCUUCUGGGCAGCCUGUGUGUGCUUUUCCUCAAAGCAGAUUGAUAACCGCUUUGAUUUUCUACUGAACUUCAUUUUUAUUAUUCCAUUUAAGUGCCAGAAUCUGUAUUUCUGGGUCUUCCACGCCCAGGGUGACCUUAGCAUGUGUUCCUUGCACAUGGUUAGAAAGAAGCCCAGCACAAUGGGAAAGUUUCACCAUCUCCUGCAUUUUUCAAAAACGAGCAGAAAAUGAGUUUUGCUGACCCUCUGGUCUCCAGGUGGCCUGUGCCCUGGAGCUGGACCAGGCCAGGUGUGAGGGGACUCUGCUGCACCAGGAGGAUGAUACAUUCUUUUGAGGCCUUGUGCUGACCGGUGCCAUCUGAACACACACACAUCAAAGGCGAGCGAAGCUUUCAAGAGCUGUGUUGUGGUUGGCUGUGCUCUGGGUCUGCACUGGAUAGUGUCUCCUCAAGAGGCCUGCUCUGGGAACCCGGGGCCUGGAGACAGGACAGACAGCAACUGCAGGUGUCCUCAUGCCGGGAGAGCAACAGCUGGGCCUCACUUUUGUAGGCCACUGAAGCACUGGGGCUCCCUUUGGGGAAACGACUCUUCCCCAAAGGGACCUGAUGAGUCCUUGGGUGAAGUCUGCAUGUUUGCAGCUUCUGAAUAUGUAGUUUUGCAGGGAACCUUUGAAGUUCCCUAAUGAACUAAACACCUGUGGAGACAUCCUUCAUCUUAACGUGUGGAAUAUCUCCCAAACCACGGAGCUACUUGGGGUCACCUUUCUCACCCCACAUUCUGGCUUCCCCAAGAGGUGGAAUUACUUUCUGGUGUUUAAGAAAAUUAUUCCCUUGUUUUAAAAAUAGUUUACCUUGGGCGGCGCCUGUGGCUCAGUCGGUAAGGCGCCGGCCCCAUAUACCAAGGGUGGCGGGUUCAAACCCGGCCCCGGCUGAACUGCAACCAAAAAAGUAGCCGGGCAUUGUGGCGGACGCCUGUAGUCCCAGCUGCUCGGGAGGCUGAGGCAAGAGAAACGCUUAAGCCUAGGAGUUGGAGGUUGCUGUGAGCUGUGUGAUGCCACGGCACUCUACUGAGGGCCAUAAAGUGAGACUCUGUCGCUACAAAAAAUAAAUAAAUAAAUAAUUUACCUUAUGCAAUGAAUUUUUUUAGAAUUUCUGAAAAUUAUUAAAAUGUUAUUAAAUUCUUGUAUCCUCUGUGACUUGCUUUGUUUCUCUAAGCUUCCACCAUAUGGUGUAUUUAGUUCACUCAAUUACUUUGUCCUGUCUUUUGUUAAAUGUAAUCAAUGCUGGCAUAAAUAUGCUUCUUAGUGCACAAAAAUAAAGAG